CUCUAUGAGAAAUUUACUCUUUUUCACAUCUCUACAGCAGCAUGUUUAGAAAAGUGUUAACUUUGUUUUCAAGUUGUCCCAUUCUGUCUUGUGCACAAGUUCGCAUAAGGUCAAACUGAUUUAUUCUGGGCCUGUUUAUUCUUUUGAAAUGUAUGUGUAGGAAUGUCAUAGCAUUUUCUUCCUGGAAAGUUCGCAAUUGCAAGAAUAAAGACAAGAACUACAGACCUGAUGUAAAUGCCUACAACAGAAAAAGGCCAGAUGAGAAAUCUGAAGAAGGUAUUAACAAAGAAGCCACAAGGUGACACUAGCACAGCACUGAGGCUAAACUGAUGGACUCUGCAUCUUUGGAGGUUUUGCCAGUUUUCCGUUCCACAGGAUCUUUUCAGCUAAAAGCACAGGGAAAACGUCAGCUAUGCCUGCCUGCAAGCAAAAGUAUACAAAAUCUGAAUUUAAAUGGCCUGGAAUGUAUUAGAGUUCCUACAGACCUAGGAUGUCUCAGGUGUUCAUUUGAUUGGAUUUCUCCAUAGAAGACAACUUGAGAAGAAAGGCAAUUGUCAGUUAAAACUUCUGGAUCUUCACUAAAAAAUAACCCCUGACUUCCAGAUAAUUAACAUGUUAUUGCAGCUGUAAAAACUGAAGUAUAAAAUAAAAAUAUAUAAGCCUUAAAAGUCAUGCAGAUACAUCAAAGCUACUCUCUUCAAUUUAUACAGAACCAGCUCUGUUAUCUGUUCCCUCUGAUACUUUAAUUCCUGGCUUCUGGUAUUUUGCUAUUUGAAGACCAAAAAAAAAAAAAAAAAUCAAAAACCAUAUUAUAUGAAAUUCACUACAGAAAUGAUGCAAAAUCAAGGUGUAAGUAUAAAUAAACCAACUU